rnacentral:rRNA from 1 species
UACGUAGGGUGCGAGCGUUAAUCGGAAUUACUGGGCGUAAAGCGUGCGCAGGCGGUUCGUCGUGUCCGAUGUGAAAGCCCCGGGCUCAACCUGGGAAUGGCAUUGGAAACUGGCGGACUCGAGUGUGGCAGAGGGGGGUGGAAUUCCGCGUGUAGCAGUGAAAUGCGUAGAUAUUCGCAAGAACACCAGUGGCGAAGGCGGCUCACUGGCUCGGUACUGACGCUGAGGUGCGAAAGCGUGGGGAGCAAACAGG